rnacentral:rRNA from 1 species
GACGAACGCUGGCGGCGUGCUUAACACAUGCAAGUCGAACGGUGAAGCGCUUUCCUUUUUGGUUGGUGUGGAUGAGUGGCGAACGGGUGAGUAACACGUGGGUAACCUGCCCCCUUCUUCUGGAUAACCGCAUGAAAGUGUGGCUAAUACGGGAUAUUCUGCGCCUGCUGCAUGGUGGGUGUGGGAAAGAUUGUGCCUUUGGGUGUUUUCGGUGGGGGAUGGGCUCGCGGCCUAUCAGCUUGUUGGUGGGGUGAUGGCCUACCAAGGCGGUGACGGGUAGCCGGCCUGAGAGGGUGGACGGUCACACUGGGACUGAGACACGGCCCAGACUCCUACGGGAGGCAGCAGUGGGGAAUAUUGCACAAUGGGCGCAAGCCUGAUGCAGCGACGCCGCGUGAGGGAUGGAGGCCUUCGGGUUGUGAACCUCUUUCGCCAGUGAAGCAGGCCUGCUCCUUGUGGGUGGGUUGACGGUAGCUGGAGAAGAAGCGCCGGCUAACUACGUG